rnacentral:lncRNA from 1 species
AUUACUGUUGUUAAUCCCGCGUUAGUUCAAAGCAAUUCAAAUUCAAAUUUGAGUUAAUGGCAAACGUCAAAAGUUUUCAAACAUUAAAACUAAAAUGUCCGGUUUGUGGCAAAUAUUCCGUAUUAAAUUUUGGUGAAGAAACCACACUUCUAUAAAGCAUUUAAGUGCCCUAUAUUGAAUAAAGCAGUAGCAAAAAUAAAUAUUUAAUUUUUUUAUAAUUAAUAAAAUGUAAAACUAUUUUAUCUAGGAGGUAAACUUUUUGUGGCAAUGCGUUUAGUGGUAAUACAAGUUUAGUGAUCAUUUUGUAUUUUACAAAACUAAAAUAAAAUAUAAAACAGUAAAAUAAAGAUAAACAACAAGAAAAAAAAUAAAUUAAAAAGAAAAAAGACCCCCCCCCCACUGGGCCAUGUGGCCCAGCUGGCCUCAGCCGCCCGAAUGGGCCGGCCCACCCCGCUCUCCUUUUUCCCUAUCACCCGUAACCCUAACCACCCCAAUCCCCCACUCCCCCCGAUCCCCCACUCUCUCCUCGCGCCCCUCCUCUCGGACCCGAUCUGGAUUGGGGGCAGGAGACCCCCGUCGCCCCGCUUCUACNNNNNNNNNNNNNNNNNNNNNNNNNNNNNNNNNNNNNNNNNNNNNNNNNNNNNNNNNNNNNNNNNNNNNNNNNNNNNNNNNNNNNNNNNNNNNNNNNNNNNNNNNNNNNNNNNNNNNNNGCUUCUACCUCGCCGGCGCCACUUCCUCAUCGGACUGCCGUCGUCGUCACCUCCUCCCCGCUGGAACCGCCCGGAGCCCUCCGCCGAAUGGCCCCGACACCGCACCUUCCCGCACGGCGCCGCCCUCCGCCGCCCCCAUCACCAGCGACACUGCGGCCACAUCCCCGAGCCCACUGCCUCCCACUGCAUCGCUCGUGAGGCCUCCCCUUCUCCUUCCCUCUCCCCGCUGCACCACACCUCACCCUGCUCACCACGCGCGCGCCGGACCACAGUUGCCUCUGCCCGCCGGUGACCUCGCCUCCGCGCGUGCCCGGGCAUGGCCUCACCCUCCGCUGCCUCUCUGUCUAGUCCCGCUCUGCUGUGACGCCGGCUCGCCGCCCGCAAGCGCCUACGGGUGCGCCUGCGCCGCUUGUCGCUGCUCUCGGUGCCUCCUUCGCCCCCUGCCUCGCGUACUGCUUCCCCCUGCACGCCACGACUCCGGCCGCCGCUCCCCGCACCUAUGUCCGACGCCGGUGUCCGCCACCGCCGCGCCUGACGAAUUCCCGCACCCAUUGGACGCACGUAACCACGCCCGUUAGCCCGACCUGCUAAGGCCUCCUGGCCAAUGAUGUGUGGGGCCGCCCCCAGAGAACGUUUUUAAAAAAUAUAAUAGGAAAUUAAUUAAUUUAAUUAAUUAAAAUGAUAAUUAACUUAAUUAACUUGUGUUAGUUAAUCUAAUAACCUAAUUAGUCUAUUUAAUCGUUUAGGUUAAUAAAACAGUGUAUGACAAGGGGGCCCCACCCCCUCUUGACCAGUCAAAGCUUGACUGGUCAACAGGGACCCCUUGGACCCACAUGUCAGCCUCUCUGGUACAUUUAUGUGUACCCAGAGCUGGGUGCACCAAGCAAUUCACAUUUAUUUUGAAUUUAAAUAAUCUGAUAAUUCUAGAAAAUGAUUUAAAACUUUAAAAAUUAAUAUAAAAUAAACCGUAGCUCGGAUGGAAAAACUUUGUACAUGAAGCUCGUAACGACGAGACGAAUCCGGAUAAGUAGCCCGCUCGUCCGCCACGCAUCCCCAGCAUAGCAAACAUGCACCUUUCCCCCUCCGGUUUAUCCAUCCGAAAACGAUAAACACCGGGGAUAUUUUCUUGGAUGUUUCCCCCCUUCACCGGUACCACCUCAAACCGUGUUAGAGCACACCUAGCAUCACGCUUUGUCAUGUCAUGCAUCGUCAUGCAUUUGUUUGCAUUAUAUUUAUUGUUUCUUCCCCCUCUUCUCUCGCUAGAAACCGAGACCGACGCCGCUGCUACCCAGUACGACUACGGUGUUGAUGACCCCUCUCUCUUGCCAGAGCAACCAGGCAAGCCCGCCCCCCUUGAUCACCAGAUAUCGCCUACUCUCCUCUAUACUGCUUUCCGUUAAUCCUAUUCUGAUGCAUAGCCUGUCAUUGUUGCUACAACUGUUGAUACCUUACCUGCAAUCCUAAAUGCUUAGUAUAGGAUGAUAGAUUAUCAUCAGUGGCCCUACACUCUUGUCCGUCUGCCAUGCUAUACUACUGGGCCAUGAUCACUUCGGGAGGUGAUCACAGGCAUAUGAUAUAUACUUAUACUGUUACUUUACUUAUGAUACUGUUCGGAGAUGGGGGCUGAAGGGGCAGGUGGCUCCAUCCAGGUAGUGGUGGGCCUGGGUUCCCGACGGCCCCCCGACUGUUACUUUGUGGCGGAGCGACAGGGCAGGUUGAGACCACCUAGGAGAGAGGUGGGCCUGGCCCUGGUCGGCGUCCGUGGUUAUUUCAAAAUAACAUGCUUAACGAGAUCUUGGUAUUUGAUCUGAGUCUGGCUACUGGCCUAUACACACAAACCAUCUACGCGGGGACAGUUAUGGGCACUCGACGUCGUGGUAUCAGCCGAAGCCUUCGUGACAUCAGCGACUGAGCGGCGCGCGCCGGGUUGGACCGCGUAACGCAACUUCCUUUGUAAUGGAGGUUUCUAGGUCUGCUCUCUGGCCGCGUACGCAACAUGCAGGUGUGCAAUGGGCGAUGGGCCAUGUCGGUGUCGAAACCGGCGGAUCUCGGGUAGGGGGUCCCGAACUGUGCGUCUAGGCGGAUGGUAACAGGAGGUAGGGGAUACGAUGUUUUACCCAGGUUCGGGCCCUCUUGAUGGAGGUAAAACCCUACGUCCUGCUUGAUUUAUUCUUGAUGAUAUGGGUAUUACAAGAGUUGAUCUACCACAAGAUCGGAGAGGCUAAACCCUAGAAGCUAGCCUAUGGUAUGAUUGUAUCUUGUCCUAAGGUCAGUUACAAAGGGGGAGAUAUCCAUUCUGUACUGCCUAGCUGUAGGGAUGAAAAUGGAGUGGAAACUUUCCGUUUUUCCGGAGGAAAAAUGGAAACGGAGAGGAAAUAUGAAAACGAAAAUGGGAAUUUGCAAAAUGGAAGUGGAAAUGGAAUUUUUUAUGCGGAAACGGAAACAAAAACGGAGCAGUGUUUUCCGGUGGAACUUGCAUGAAAACGGAACUUUCCGUUUCUGUGAAUAUGGAAUUUCUGUUAUUACAAUAGACCUAUAGCUACUUUGUAGCCCGACCACUAAAGAGAACACAAUGACACAAUUAGUAGAAUGGAUCUAAGGCCCAACUGCUACUACAACACAUGUACUCAGCUUGACCAUAUACGCAAUUGUCUGGUACUACUACAAUACUAUGCUAGGUUGCUCUUAUUUUGUAGUGGUGUGAACAACUCUUUAAAUUUGUUUGUUUUGUGUGUAUUUCUCUAUGAUUCAAGGGGUUUUUGAAGUUCCGAUCGAUGCCUAUUUUUGUUUCGGUGUCUGCUUUGUAUUCACCCCGUGUCCGUUUCCGGUAGUAUCUGUUUCUGUAUUCAUUUCCGGGGUUUCUGUAUUCGUUUCCGCUUCUGCAAAAAAAUGUGAAAACAAAUAUGAUAGCAUUUAGUUUCGUCCGUUUCCGCUCCGUUUUCAUCCCUAGCUUGCCUUCCACGCCAAGUAGAGUCCCAUCCGGACACGAGACAAAGUCUUCAAUCUUGUAUCUUCAUAGUCUAACAGUCCGGCAAGAGGAUAUAGUCCGGCUGUCCGGAGACCCCCUAAUCCAGGACUCCCUCAGUAGCCCCUGAACCAGGCUUCAAUGAUGAUGAGUCCGACGCGCAAUAUUGUCUUCGGCAUUGCAAGGCGGGUUCCUCCUCUGAAUACAUCACGGAAGAAUUUGAAUACAAGGAUAGUGUCUGACCCUGCAAAAUAAGUUCCACAUACCACCAUAGAGAGAAUAAUAUUUCCACAAAUCUAAUCUACUGACACGUUUUAGCAACAUGACAUUAUGCCAUGGCCCGGUAAUUAUUCGAACCGUUUCCCUUAACUAGCCCCGCACAUAACGCGAGGCAGUUUCUUGACAUGUCUUGACAAAGCAGAGAUCAUGUUCCCCUUAUUACGGGAUUCUCAUCAAUACGGGCGUGGGUAACCCAACCGCGCCAUCGAUUACGACACUUGGGGGAUAAGCAAGUUUUACCAGGCUAGUGGGGGCGCAUAGUUUCGGCCGCCCUUAUAAAGGGACAAGGUUUAACCUUUUUUCUACCCACGCCUUCUCCCUCCUUGCUCAUCCACUCUUGCACACUCGAGCUCCAACACCCAAGCGCACAUCUUUCCCCUCAACCUUCUCCAAUCAUGUCCGGAGCGGGAGGCAAAUGGAUGGCUUCCUUUGUUACGGAGGGACACAUCAAGAAGCUGCGCGGAGCCGGAUACUUGGCCGCGAAUAUAGCGCAUCGGCUACCUACUGUGGGGCAGAUCGUUCCUACCCCUGAACCUCAUGAGAGGGUAGUUUUCCUCCACCACUUCCUCCGCGGACUGGGGUUUCCCCUCCAUCCAUUCUUCCGUGGUCUCAUGUUCUACUACGGGCUGGACUUUCAUGAUCUGGCCCCGAACUUCAUCCUCAACAUUACGGCGUUCAUCGUCGUCUGUGAGGCUUUCCUCCGUGUCCGGCCCCACUUCGCCCUGUGGCUGAAGACCUUUAACAUCAAGCCGAAGGUGGUGGGAGGCCAACGAGCAGAAUGCGGCGGAGCCAUGGUGGGCAAGAUGCCCAAUGUCACAUGGCUUGAGGGCUCCUUCGUGGAGACCAUAAAGGGGUGGCAAUCGGCCUGGUUCUACAUCACUGAGCCGCGCGACACCAAAUGGGCGGCGGCCCCCGAGUUUUGAUCCGGAUUCCCUACACUGCUCACUUCCUGGAAAGAGAAGGGCUUGUCGUGGGUUCAUCGGUGGAGCUGGAUGGACUCCAGAAAUGUAUCCGGAGUAUGGAAAGCAAGAAGCUCAAGCUUGUCAACAUAGUCCAGGUCAUGCUCAUCCGCCGGAUCCUCCCGUGCCAACAACGGGACUUCAACUUGUGGGAGGUCGACCCGGGCCAGCACCAGACUCUAAGCGAGCUCUUCGACAUGAUGCACAAGGACGUCUGGAAGGUGCUGUUCAAGGGCGCUGAGGUCCGUCCCUCUCUCACCGAGGACCGCGGGCUAAGCGCGAAGCGCCGAGCGCCGAGCGCAUUCAGUGAGUUCUAUACAUCUGGUAGGAUAUUUAGUUCCCCUAGCUUAACCAUGUGUGGGGUCUGAUCUCCAUGCCUUUGACAGGACUGGGUGGAGACGUCGGGGCAGAUUAACUGUCCGACCCCACUGCCCGAAGACACUGCGGAUGCUCUCCUGACGGAGAUGCUGACUCCGGCUCCUUACAAGGUGCCGCAGAAUACCAAGAAGGCCAAGGGAACCCAAAAGAGCUCCCGGCGCCAGGUGUUAUCGGACUCAUCGUCUGAUAACUCCGUGACGCACUCCUCCCCCGAAGAUGAGGAGGAAGAUGAAAAUGUUCCCCCUCCAGUCGGGGGAAACAAGAAAAGGAAGGCCGCCCCUACUGGGGGGCGAAGGGUCCAAGAAGGGAAGGACUCUCCUUCCGGACUACUCCACCACCGCCGCCGAAGGCAAAGACGAAUGGCUGCUCAGGGCCAAGCCCCUGGCGAAGUCAUAAGUAUUCGGAUACCAGAGUAACUCAUAGCAUUCCUUUGUCGCACUGCUUCUCCUAACGCCGAAUUAUGAUUGUGCAGACCGCCCCGAACCCGUAUCGAUGUAUCCUCGUCGGACGGCUCCCUCGGCUCAUCGGAUAUGGAUAGCGAUCCACUUCCGACCGCCACCUCCCCUUGCCCUACGGACAACGCCGAGGUGUUGUCUCAAGAGGCACUGGGUCAAGGGGAGAUAGUCUCGGAGGCGCCUCAAAGCAACCUUCCGGACUCCGAGAGCAGGGGGAGCAAAGUCCCCAAGGGCUCCGAGUUCGGCCCUCAGCCGAACACCGCGCCGGAACCUCCAGUGGUUCCGGACUCGAGCAGGCGGCCUCCUUCCAAGAGGCGCAAGACGCCUGUGCCGGUGACCUCUUCCCAUCCAGAGGCACCGGGCAAUCUGCUGGGAGCGCUUCGCAGUGCUUCCAUUGACGAAGAGCACUGCACUAUUAUGAGUGCGGUGGUCCAGAAGGUUCAGUCCGCCAAGAGCGGACUGACUGAAGCCUAUGCCAACCUUCUAACAGGCUUUCAGGUAAGUUUUUGAAAUAUAGGAGAAAUAUUACCGCAUAGAUAGUAGCCCCUGAUGCUCUGUUCGGUGUUCACAAAUAAAAGCCGAACAGAGGAUCAAACAAUAUCGCAGGAGUCUAAUAUAAGUAUGUCUAUAUGCGUAUGCAAGCUUCGCUGCUGGCCUCUGCCGCACUGACUGCAGAGGUUGCCACACUAAAGCAGGACCUUAAAGGGUCCAAGGAAGAGUUCGGCCUUGCCAAGAGGCAGCUCGAGGAGAACAAAGGUAAGUAGUACCUAGUCUAUUGAUCUAUAAAGGAAAGCGAUUUCAAAAUGACAAGAUUAUCGUAAAUUUGCUAGGGCCACGACCGAGGUGGUGACCCUGAAGCAAGUGCUAUCCGAGGCCGAAAACAAAGCGGCCAAGGAGCGCACCGAGCGGGAAAGGCAGGAGCUCGGGUGGGCAAGGUGCAGCAAGAGCUCCACACUCUCGUGACAAAGCACGAGGCGUUGGAGCUUGACUUGAAGACGCGAGAGUCCGAGCUUGCCGCGGCCCUCGAGAGCGCAAAGAAUGCCAAGGCCGAAGCCCAAAAGGCCCUCCAGGAGAUUGAUGCGAUGAAGAAGAUAGCGGUGGGUAAGGCAUUCUAUAUGCAAAGCAAGGAUGUGAAAGUAAAUUACUUGUUACUUACCCGAAUCCGGAGCUCUCCAGGAGCAUUCAAAGAUUUGCCCCACAGCGUGUCGGAUGCCGCAACAUUUUACCAGGCCGAGGAGGGAAGCUCAAUGGAGAAGUUGUUCUGGGCCCAAUAUAUUGGGACCGAACACCCAGUGCCUAUGAGCGACUAGCUAAAGCAGCUGGUCGAGCUACACAAAGCGGCCGAACAGGCCAUGAAGGGCUUUACAUUCCGGCUGUGGCCUGGCGACGCCCUUCCGAACAGCUACUUCGUCCUGGUGAGGCGGCUUGUGGAUGCCUGCCCAUGGCUUGAAGUCGUCAAGCGGUCCGUCUGCAUCGAAGGUGCACGCCGGGCUUUCGCCCAUGUGAAGGUGCAAUGGGCCAAGCUAGACGCCGUGAAGCUGGUCAAGGAAGGGCCGCCGGAGGGCAAGGAGCAUCGCCACCCCGAGAUGUACUAUGAGGGUAUCGUGAAGGGUGCUCGCCUCAUAGCAGACGAGUGUACCAAAGAUACAAUAUUUGAGUAAACCCGCUCGUGUAAUCCUGUAUUCACGAAAACUUGUUCAUAUGCGCUAUGCGACGCUUGUUUGAAUUUAAAAUAUUACCUUCUGUUCGGCUGUUUAUCAAAUCUGAGAGAUGGCUAGUCGUCGGCUUCUGCCCCCAUGCCACAAGUGCUGGGGUGUUCGGGAUAAACCAGAGCACUCUUGUUCCCAUUUUUGGGUCCUUCGAGGGAGGUGCUGAGCACAACGAACAAGGCAAUCAGACUAUAAUGUGUUAUCACUCUCACUUAGCCAUAGAAUUCUAUAAUUUUAAAUUUCGGCGAAUCCCCUAGUGUUCGGAAGGCCGAACUCGGGGCGCGAUACACGCCUUAAGCCAGACAGGGCCGACUCCUCGCUCCAAGCGGCAUAAGUCUUUAAGGACUCGAAAAACCUCUCGAACAGCGACCAGUCUCUCGCCUUAUCAUGACAGUCAGUUUUAGCUUUCUCUAUUGAGGUUCUUAGCCCAGCAGAACUAGGGCACAAUCGCAGUAGUUCUCCCAGUGCUACCUUAGCCGAUAUAGCAGAACGUAAGGUACCAAAACAUGGGAUCCGGGCAAACCCCACUAUUGACCCAAGACAUGAUUCAGAGCUGAUGCAUAUGAUGCUAUAAGUUCGGGGUGCCGCACUGUUGAAAGUGUCCGGACUUCUCACGCCGUAUUGUGGGGUAUGCCUAAGCCCCUAGCGUAUUUGGCCGUACCAGAGUGUACGGGUGCUGGAUGUCAUGAAUGAACAUAUAUAUAUGUAUAUAAAGAAGAAUGCAAUAAUAGUCUUAAUAUGCAUUGUUUAUUCAAAAAGGUGCGUUAAAGCAGAAUGAUACAUGCAGUGCAAUAAGCAAAAAGUAGGACUAUGUCCCCUCCAAGGGCAAGCUGAGGAAUAAUAUUUAAGCAAGUAUUUCACUCGUUAUCAUAAUCCACCUGGGAGUCCCGCGAUGUGAUGUAGCUUUCUGCCUCCUUGGUUGCUGCAUCAUGUGUUCGGCAAUCAUGCUGCCGGACAGGGUUUCCAGAGAUUAAUGUCCUGAAAGAGAGAAAAAUAACAAAGCGGAAAGCCCCUAAUGUGGUUUAAGCCGCGUCUUGGGGCGUGCCAUAGUCGUGCCCCCUUCCCCGUCUGUGCCCAUGGUAUUUUUAAUGCGUAAUUAUGUACGCGUGGCACAGGUUUCGACAUUUGGCUGGGACCGGGGUGGGGGCCGCAUUGCUAUGCGAGCUCGGAACGUGCCAGGAGGUCCAGUUGUUGAUUACUCCGGGCGCGCUUGAAGUUGUCCGGGUCCCUAAAUGCCGAACUAGUGGAUUGCCUUAAGAGGCUGCUUUGCGCUUUCGCUGCGAGGGCCGCAGUGUGCUCCUCCUUUCGGAGAGUGUGCUCUGUAUUUCCGUUAACUGUAAUGACCCUCUGAGGUCCUGGCAUCUUGAGCUUGAGGUAUGCAUAAUGCGGUACCGCAUUGAAUCUCGCAAAUGUGGUUUGCCCGAGCAGUGCAUGAUAACCACUGCAGAACGGGACUAUAUCGAAGAUUAACUCUUCGCUCCGGAAGUUAUUCGGGGAUCCGAAGACCACUUCCAGUGUGACUGAGCCUGUGCAAUGGGCUCUACACCUGGUAUGACGCCUUUAAAGGUCGUUUUUGUGGGUUUGAUCCUUGAGGGGUCUAUACCCAUUUUGCACACUGUGUCCUGGUAAAGCAGGUUCAGGCUGCUGCCGCCAUCCAUAAGGACUCGAGUGAGUUGAAAUCCGUCAAUGAUUGGGUCUAGGACCAGUGCGGCGAAUCCGCCAUGACAGAUACUAGUGGGGUGGUCCCUGCGAUCGAAGGUGAUCAGAUGAUCAGACAGGAGGACCAUGGGUUGAACUUUGGGGCGACUGGCUCCAACGCAUAUACAUCCCUGAGCGCAUGCUUCCGCUCCCUCUUGGGGAUGUGGGUUGCGUAUAUCAUGUUCACAGUCCGCACUUGUGGGGGGAACCUCUUCUGUCCUCCGGUGUUCGGCUGCCGGGGCUCUUCCUCGUCAUCACUAUGUGGCCCCUUAUCUUUGUUUUCUGCAUUUAACUUGCCGGCUUGCUUGAAUACCCAACAAUCCCUAUUGGUGUGGUUGGUUGGCUUGUCGGGGGUGCCGUGUAUUUGACACGAGCGAUUGAGUAUGCGGUCCAAACUGGACGGGCCCGGAGUGCUUCUUUUAAAUGGCUUUUUUCUGCUGACCUGGUUUAGAGCCUUUGAAUCCGGCAUUGACUGUCGUAUCCUCGUUAUUGUCGCUGUGAAUGCGGCACUUAUGUUUAUUGCGACGUGACCUACCAUUGCCGUCCUUGGUAUCUGAGGUACCACGGUUCUUUGAUAUGUUAUUACUGCGAGCCAGCCAGCUAUCUUCUCCCGCACAAAACGGGUCAUGAGUGUCGUGAUGGCUGCCAUAGAUUUUGGCUUUUCCUGACCAAGGUGUCAGGCUAGCCACUAGUCACGGAUGUUGUGUUUAAAAGCUGCUAGGGCCUCUGCAUCCAGACAGUCGACGAUUUGAUUUUUCUUUGUUAGGAACCGUGUCCAGAAUUGCCUGGCCGAUUCCUCUGGCUACUGGAUUAUAUGGCUUAGGUCAUCGGCGUCUGGUGGUCGCACAUAAGUGCCCUGAAAGUUAUCGAGGAAUGCGGCUUCCAGAUCUUCCCAACAGCCAACGGACUCUGCUGGCAAGCUAUUGAGCCAAUGCCGAGCUGGUCCUUUGAGUUUGAGUGUGAGGUAUUUAAUGGCAUGUAGAUCAUCACCACGUGCCAUGUGGAUAUGCCAGAGGAAAUCCUCGAUCCAUACCACAGAAUCUGUUGUGUUGUCGUAUGAUUCUAUAUUUACGGGUUUGAUGAUCCAUUACUUCGUCUGUGAAGCAUAAGGGUUGUGCGGCGCCUCUGUACUGGGCUAUAUCGCGACACAACUCCAAUGUGUCUUGCCCACUAUGCUCGGCCCGACGGGAUUUACUUUUACUCUAUCCGGCGUGAUGAUUAUCGUCUCGCGUAGUGGCAUGCCCCCGUGAUCCGUAGAUCGAUCUUGCGUGUUUUUCUUUGUCCUCCAAUACGUCUCGCAGGUCUGGUGUAUUUCCCCAUGCCUUUUUAUUUGAAUGGUGUCGGGGUGCAGGCUGAGCUUUUGGCAGGAACGCCUCUCUAUCGCGGCCACGAGGCGGCCGGUCAGUCGCGUCAUACGCUCCUUCCUCUAGUCGGGGUAGCAACCUGCAUUUUGAGUAACUCUUAGAGGGGUGUUCGAGUUUAUAUUCCUCAGCCGCCAAGGCUUCAGUCCAUCUAUCAGCUAGCGGAUCUUGAUCAACUUGAAGCUGCUGCUGCUUUUUAUGAAGGCUAUUUGCCGUGGCUAUAAGCCAGCGCUUGAUGCGCUCUUGUUCGACGGGAUCCUCUGGCACGACGAAUUCGUCAUCGUCGAGGCUUGCCUCGUCUUCGGAGGGAGGCAUGUAAUUAUCCUCCUCCUCAUCUACCGCUCUCUCAGGAGGGCUGGCCUCUCCAUCCUCCUGCCCUAAAUCGUGCUGGAGGGGAUUUUUUCCAUCUUCGGCAGUAUCCGGAGUGCUAUUAUCUCCUAUGCCGGUAUCACCACUUUUGCUUUGGCGGGACUUAGAGCGGCGCCGCUGAUGUCGGCGCUUGGGUUGCUUCUUGGAGGGGUCAUCCUCCGCUGUCUCGUCGCCAUUGGCUUCUUUGGGUGUGUCCACCAUGUAUAUAUCGUAUGAUGAGGUGGCUGUCUAGUGCCCUGUGGGCAGUGGUUCCUCUUUGUAUCCCGCAUCGUCAUCCAUACUGUCGAUGUCUUCGGAGUCGAAGUCUAGCAUGUCGGUUAAGUCGUCGACAGUGGCUACUAAGUGGGUGGUGGGUGGGCAGCGAAUUUCUUCGCCAUCCGCAUCCCAAUCCUACAAGACAUAGUUCGGCGAGGAUCCUCUUGACAAGGAGAGAGACCUCAAUGAGUUCAGUAUGUUGCCAAAGGGCGAGUGCUGAAAAAUAUCCGCGGAGGUAAACUCCAUGAUCGGCGCCCAAUCGGAUGCGCUAGGAACGAGCGCAGGCGGUUCGGAGUCCGUGGCCGGAGAAGGAUCCGGUAGUUUGACAACACGGCUCUCGUGUAGGGUAAGGUCGAUGUUCGGCUCGAUCGCCGUUGAGGAUAAGGCCUCCGUGGCGGGGUCCAUCCACCCGUCCAUGGACGGCGCAACUAGCUCCGAAUUGAGGGUCGGAGCGGCUGCCGGUGCGAUCUCCUGAACUCUGUCCGAUGGUAGAGCUAAAUCGUACUCAUCGUGACCGUGUGACGCACAAGGCAGGGGAUCGAAUCCAUCGAAGAUCAAGUCUCCGCGCAUAUCGGCCAUGUAGUUUAAGCUUCCAAACCUGACCUAGUGGCCACGGGCGUAACUUUCGAUCUGCUCCAGAUGGCCAAGCGAGUUGGCCCGCAGUGUGAAGCCGCCGAACACAAAGAUCUGUCCGGGGAGAAAAGUCUCACCCUGGACUGCAUCGCUAUCGAUGAUCGUAGGAGCCAUCAAGCCUGAUGAUGACGACACACAGGAACUCUCAAUGAAAGCACCAUUGUCGGUGUCAAAACCGGUGGAUCUCGGGUAGGGGGUCCCGAACUGUGCAUCUAGGAGGAUGGUAACAGGAGGCAGGGGACACGAUGUUUUACCCAGGUUCGGGCCCCCUUGAUGGAGGUAAAACCCUACGUCCUGCUUGAUUUAUUCUUGAUGAUAUGGGUAUUACAAGAGUUGAUCUACAACGAGAUUGGAGAGGCUAAACCCUAGAAGCUAGCCUAUGGUAUGAUUGUAUGUUGUCCUACGGACUAAACCCUCCGGUUUAUAUAGACACCGGAGGGGGCUAGGGUUACACAAGGUCAGUUACAAAGGGGGAGAUAUCCAUAUCCGUACUGCCUAGCUUGCCUUCCACGCCAAGUAGAGUCCUAUCCGGACACGAGAUGAAGUCUUCAAUCUUGUAUCUUCAUAGUCUAACAGUCCAGCAAGAGGAUAUAGUCCGGCUGCCGGAGACGCCCUAAUCCAGGACUCCCUUAGGCCUAGAUCCCUGCGCCAUAGGAUUUAGACCGGCGUGCUGACCUCUUUGUUGUGCCUAGGUAGGGCUGCGACGUGUUGAUCUUCCGAGGCCGGGCAUGACCCAGAAAAGUGUGUCCAGACAAAGGGGAUCGAGCGUGUUGGGAAAUGUGGUGCACCCCUGCAGGGAAGUUUAUCUAUUCGAAUAGCCGUGUCGCUCGUAAAAGGACGACCCAGAGUUGUACCUUGACCUUAUGAUAACUAGAACCGGAUACGUAAUAAAACACACCCUUCCAAGUGCCACAUACAACCGAUGAUCGCUCUCUCACAGGGCGACGAGGGGAGGAUCAUCGGUUAGGAUUAUGCCAUGCGAUGCUACUUGGUGGACUUACCAUCUACUCUCUUCUACAUGCUGCAAGAUGGAGGUGGCCAGAAGCGUAGUCUUCGAUAGGAUUAGCUAUCCCCCUCUUAUCCCGGCAUUCUGCAGUUCAGUCCACAUAUGAUACCCUUAUUCCAUUUGAUACCAAUGCAUACAUAUGUAGUGUAGCUCCUUGCUUGUGAGUACUUUGGAUGAGUACUCAUGGUUGCUUUGCUCCCCCUUUUCCCCUUUCCUAUACUCAAUUGCUGUGACCAGACGAUGGAGCCCAGGAGCCAGACACCACCGUCGAUGACGACUCCUACUACACUGGAGGUGCCUAUUACUAUGUGCAGCCCGCUGACGACGACCAGGAGUAGUUUAGGAGGAUCCCAGGCAGGAGGCCUGCGCCUCUUUCGAUCUGUAUCCCAGUUUUUUCUCCUUCUUAAGGCAAACUUGUUUAACUUAUGUCUGUACUCAGGUAUUGUUGCUUCCGCUGACUCAUCUAUGAGCGAGCUCUUGUAUUCGAGCCUUCGAGGCCCCUAGCUUGUAAUAUGAUGCUUGUAUGACUUAUUUUAUUUGUAGAGUUGUGUUGUGAUAUCUUCCCGUGAGUCCCUGAUCUUGAUCGUACACGUUUGUGUGUAUGAUUAGUGUACGAUUGAAUCAGGGGUGUCACAAGUUGGUAUCAGAGCUGAUUGCCUGUAGGAAUCCCCCUUCCCAACUCCUUGCCUGAAGUCGAGUCUAGUCAUUGAAAAACUUUUACUAACAUGGUUGUGUGGCUUAUGGGCCAACGUCGCCAUUGGGUGGUAUUAGGAUCUUUUACUCCUUGUCUAUACUCUGGGACUCUGAUCUCUCUUCUAUUCCGAUUAAAUGAAUUUUGCUAAAUCUAACAUUAGGAUCUCGUUAUCACUUUCACCCGGAGAGCCCCUUAUUAUUGAUGAUCGUCUGCGGCACAUGAAGACCCUGAAGAUACUCUCCGCUGUUAACCUGAGAACUUGUGUUCAUCGCGCUUGCAAUUCCCCUUCCACCGUCAACCCUUAUGGAUAACUACUUGCAGUUGUUAUUCUUACACACAUCCCUAGUUGGUCUUGUUAUUACAAUAUACCCCUAAAUACUCGUCAUUGUUUCGAUAAUCCUUUGAGCUUACUGCCUUGCUGUUCUUUGUCAUCUGAAUACCCCUAUGGAUAAUUCUCGCACUUAUCGAGUAUCCGCUCAUCCCCCAGUUGUUCAUGUGUUUCACAAUGGUCUUCGAAAUACUAUUCGAUCCUCGAAAAAUCCUUAGUAGCUUAUUGCUCUGCAAUACUUGUCUGCUUGCAUUAUGGAUGCUUUCCAUAUGUCUGGCAAUAUUCGUUAGUAUCCUUAGACAUCGUCAUUUUGAUCCUAUUGAUUCAACAUGAGUGCGAAUGCAUGUAGUCAUUAGUUGAUCCUUUUAAAUUAUCUUUCUGGCUCAGACGUCAUUUUUGAACAUAAGCUUGUUCUCGACCAAUCUGUUUGCCGUCAAUUGUACCCUUAGGUCUAUUGAACUUAUCCACCCUUGAUCAGAGCGUCUACUUCUGAUCCUUCUAUUUGGAAAUCAUAAUUCCUUUGAUAUAUAAGCAUCAAAUCAUUCAGGUGUCCUAUAAUCUGAUGCCCUUGCAUCCUUUCUUCAAUUGACUGUAUGCCGAUGCUUACAUCAGCUCCGCUAUGGACCGUCAGAUCCUUUAUUGGAUUAUUAUUCGACAGUGUCCUCCUUAGUCAAUAAUCUUGUGAGCUUUUCCUCGGAUACAUAAUGCUUUUGGUAAAUUGUAUCCUCUGUUUUCUCAACCAUGCUCUAUUUUCGAGCUGGUGGUAUUUAAGAUUGAAGCUUGUGGUAUAUGUUUCCACGAUACCCUGACGGGUUGAACCUAUGCCUUUCUUAAUAUGUGUGAACCCGAAAGUUUUCACAGGUCAUACUCCUCUGGUAAUUCACCAGGUAGGUUUUGACACUGAAAUCAUUUUUAUCUAGAGCAGUGAAUGAAAGGUUAUGCAUUGAAGAAGUGUGAGUCGAUCUUGAACUUUGUGUUCAUGCCCAUGGACACGAUGUAGAUCUUAUCAUGGAAGAUUCUCUUAAAUUAAUUAUCCCCUUGGUAUGUUCAUCUUAUAUCUGGGAUUUGAUCUUUUACAAUAGUCGUUCCGACCAUAUUGUUCUUCUUUGAUCCCGUUUCUCGGACAAGUUAAAAUACUUGUCUUCUGCACCUCAUUUUAGCUGUCAAGCAUCUAUUCUACUCUACCUUCGAGUAUUACCCCCUGGUAUCUCAAGGAUAUCAACCCAUUGCACUUCCUCUUAUGAAUUUCUGAUGAAGUGGUAUGUUUCCCCGCCAUAGUCACUCCAUGGGUUCUGGGUUGUCGUUAACCGAGAACACCGAUUUGUGAAUCAAAUCAACACUGUGAUUCAGUACUUCCACUACUUUGUUGUCGAGAAGUUUAAUACUCCAUCACGUCAUUCCUAGCCUGAUUGACUAUAUCAUUAUUGUGCUAAUUUUUAACUGUGCCACCUGGUCAUUCUUCCCAGAGCACAAUUUUCAGUGAUGAGCAAAUCAUGCAUCGAUCUUUCUCGUCAUAUCGUUUGCCCUUGAACAGCAAGCUUGAUUUUGAGUUUGUGUCGUACCCAUGGUUCCAAUAACUUUUUGCUUCAUCAUUCCGUUGACUCGAUGUCAUCGCCGAUCAGUCACAUCUUCUUGAAACCUCUCGACAAAUGUGUCGUGAUCAUCACCAACAUUCUGAGGUCUUCCAAGAUAUCUAUCGAAUUCUUGAUGAGAAAUAGCAUCCUUUGCCCUUGAUGAUUUGGGUUAUCAUCCACAACAUUAUUGCAUUCCCUCCAACACAAAACUUGUUCUUAUUUUGUGUUGUAUCUUGAGUUCCUUGCAUUCCAACUUAUGUUAUGAUCUAACGCGGAGUAUUACCAUCUUUGAUGUCAAGAAUGUUGUGAGGAUUGCUCCACCUCUUAAGAAAUUCUUGCUAUAAUGAUACUUCACACUAUCACCAUUCAUUCUUGGUCCCUGUGUUGAUUCUAACCGGGACACCAACAAGUUAACGGUGCUGCUUGGAUUCUAUACUUCUAGCAACCCUGUUACUUUGAAGCUAAUGGUUGAUAGUUCAUUCUUAGACUAUCGCUUAUUGGAUCACCAUUCUAACAAUUGAUCAGGCUACCUAUGCCCAUACUUCGGGCGCACCUGUCAACCAGUGUUUAAUUCGAGUAUCUUUUCCUCAAGUAUACCUCAUCAUAUCAUUGAUCUGACAAAUGUUAUCUCCUUGUUCACAUAAUUGUGUAAAUCCAUCUUUUGGAAAUCUCGUUGAAUUGUCGUUGAGUUCAUCAGCCACCUCCUCAUCCUCUCCUUGGUUUACUGAUGAACUCUGGUUUCGGAACUCGCUUCCAUAGUUCAUUUCUCGAGAAUCAUAUAAUGUCAUCUCGUCAAUUGUGUUGCACCUCUUCUUAUCAGGCAUCCAGAGUCUGAGAUAUCCUAACACCAAUCAGAUAUGAAUCCUGGUCAGAUAUGAUGGUUGGGACUCAUUUUCCAAGAGUUAUAAUGUUGGUCUUUAUAUGACCUAGUAAGGUGAUGUCAUGCCUAGCACACCUGGCUGGAGGGCCUAUUGUUAUAGUUCUUCCUUUUAGCAAUGUUAACCAUUCUUCCAUGAGGAAAUUGAAAGACUUAUUCUAUAAAUUGUCCUGGUGAAUCCAUUGAGUAUCCAAAGUCUGACCUUUGCUUGAAGACCAUGUCAAUGAUAUCUCGAAGCAUGUCUGUGGUACUUCGAUUUUCAAUAAGAACAUUUCAAGCACAAUGCUAAAUGUUUCUUGCUCAAUUAUCCAAACAAUGUUGCAUGGGUAAUGUCAUGAAAUUUCUCUCCCCUUACCUAAAGUGUUUUCUACAUUGUAUCCUGUCAUGGAUAUCAUGCUCUGCUUAUCCUUGGGAAGGGUAUACGCUCUAAAUAUGUGUUUAAACACAUUUUCCUUUCCAUUGUUUUUGUUUAACCAUUCUUGUAAUCUUACUUAACUGAGCAGUGAUAAUUCCUUGCUUAGGUAAGCACCUUGUUGUAUCGCUUUGUUAGUAAGUCCCUAUUGCUAUUGUUGAUGACAUUUCGGUAACCACCGAUGGAUGAGAACUUUGCCUAUUGGUCCGCCUCGUUUCAACGAGCAGGGAAAUGGUUCUCUUCAUCCCUCGACCUUGGUACCGAUGUUGUUGCCGACAUAACUGAUAGGCUAUCCUCUGACAUGCCUUUCUUACAUGAUCGUGCAAGACUUCAUCGCCCUUCCUACUUUUAACCCACAUGAUGGGCCCAUAACCCAUAGUUCCACAGGAUUCAAACCUAACUCUCCUGUACACCCCCUGUUUCCAAGGUUAUUCCUCGCGCGUGACCUCGUAAGUAAUUCACGAGCCACCUCCCGAGAGAUCGUCAAUUCUGGUAUCAGACACAUUACUUAUUCCCGUUGAUCUCAACCCCUUUCACGCCCUGUUGCAGGCAUCAAACGAUUGCCUGCCCACUCAAAACUUCCCAUGAUACCUCCUUAUUUUGCUCUCGAUAUAUUCUUACGUUUCAACUCGAGAGUUACUUUCUGCCACCUUCCCCGAUGUUAUCGACCAGAUAGUCAACCUUGCAGAGGUCCGUUCUUUCGGAAUAACCAGCCUUUAUUCUUUUGUAAGUACGAUGAAGAUCCCGAAGAAAUGAUGCGUACUACAUCAUCAUGACCUGAAGCAGAGAAAUGAAGACAUCAACAUAAUGGAUCAACCACUUCAAGAAGAGCAACCAAGAUUGAGAAUGCUCAUUAGAAUUUCGUAACCAAAUCCCUUCCACCUCCCUUCCCCUCUUAAAUCUCAGGACGAGAUUUCUUGUAGUGGAGGAGAAUUGUGACGCCCGGAUAUUUAAGCUACAGUAAUAAUCUGCUAAUGAUGCCACGUCACCACAAUUACUGUUGUUAAUCCCGCGUUAGUUCAAAGCGAUUCAAAUUCAAAUUUGAGUUAAUGGCAAACAUCAAAAGUUUUCAAACAUUAAAACUAAAAUGUCCGGUUUGUGGCAAAUAUUCCGUACUAAAUUUUGGUGAAGAAACCACACUUCUAUAAAGCAUUUAAGUGCCCUAUAUUGAAUAAAGCAGUAGCAAAAAUAAAUAUUUAAAUGUUUUUAUAAUUAAUAAAAUGUAAAACUAUUUUAUCUAGGAGGUAAACUUUUUGUGGCAGUGCGUUUAGUGGUAAUACAAGUUUAGGGAUCAUUUUGUAUUUUACAAAACUAAAAUAAAAUAUAAAACAGUAAAAGAAAGAUAAAUAACAAGA